rnacentral:rRNA from 1 species
AACCUCCGCAAUGUGAGAAAUCGCGACGGGGGGAUCCCAAGUGCCAUUCUUAACGGGAUGGCUUUUCAUUAGUGUAAAGAGCUUUUGGAAUAAGAGCUGGGCAAGACCGGUGCCAGCCGCCGCGGUAACACCGGCAGCUCUAGUGGUAACAAUUUUUAUUGGGCCUAAAGCGUCCGUAGCCGGUUUAAUAAGUCUCUGGUGAAAUCCUGCAGCUUAACUGUGGGAAUUGCUGGAGAUACUAUUAGACUUGAGACCGGGAGAGGCUAGAGGUACUCCCAGGGUAGAGGUGAAAUUCUGUAAUCCUGGGAGGACCGCCUGUUGCGAAGGCGUCUAACUGGAACGGUUCUGACGGUGAGGGACGAAAGUUAGGGGCGCGAACCGGAUUAGAUACCCGGGUAGUCCUAACUGUAAACGAUGCGGACUUGGUGUUGGGGUGGCUUUGAGCUGCUCCAGUGCCGAAGGGAAGCUGUUAAGUCCGCCGCCUGGGAAGUACGGUCGCAAGACUGAAACUUAAAGGAAUU